GCUCCCUUCGUCUAGCGGUCUAGGACGCUGGCCUCUCACGCCGGUAACAGGGGUUCGAUUCCCCUAGGGAGUACCA
rnacentral:tRNA from 2 species